rnacentral:rRNA from 1 species
UACGAAGGGGGCUAGCGUUGCUCGGAAUUACUGGGCGUAAAGGGAGCGUAGGCGGGUCGUCAAGUUGGGGGUGAAAGCCCAGGGCUCAACCUUGGAACUGCCUUCAAAACUGACGAUCUAGAGUAUGGAAGAGGUAAGUGGAACUCCGAGUGCAGAGGUGAAAUUCGUAGAUAUUCGGAAGAACACCAGUGGCGAAGGCGACUUACUGGUCCAUGACUGACGCUGAGGCUCGAAAGCUAGGGGAGCAAACAGG